UCUUCUUUCUUACCUUGAUGGAGGUUGACAUAUUCAUUUAUCUGUAGAGUUUUCAAAUCAAAGGAUUGGCUUUUUAGUUGUUGUUGAUUCUCCCAAUUUUAUGUCUGCUUUUUUUUUUUUUUUUUUUUUUUUUUUUAAGAUGGAGUCUCGCUCUGUUGCCAGGCUGGAGUGCAGUGGUGCAAUCUUGGUUCACUGCAACCUCGGCCUCCCGGGUUCAAGUGAUUCUCCUGCCUCAGCCUCCCGAAUAGCUGGGACUGCAGGCAUGCGCCAUCACGCUCAGCUAAUUUUUGUAAUUUUAGUGGAGAUGGGGUUUCACGAUGUUGGCCAGGAUGGUCUCGAACGCCUGACCUCGUGAUCUGCCUGCCUCAGCCUCCCAAAGUGCUGGGAUUACAGGCGUGAGCCACCGCGCCCAGCCUGUGUCUGCUUUUUAUUCCCAGAUUUUUGCUUGUAUCUUAAUAAUUUUCUUUCUUCAUUUUAAUUGAGUUUAUAUCAUUCCUUUUCUAGCUCACGUUGGAUAUUUUUCUUAUUAUAAAGCUCUAAAUUUUUCUGUGUUUAAAGACUUAAAAACUGAGAUCAAUACUGCUUUGAAAAAUAAAUUCUAUAUAUGCCAUUAAGAUUGGGUUUUCACAUUAGUGACUGUUCCAAAAGUCUGUACCAUGGGCAGAAUAAUGGUCUGUGGAGCUCUGACUCCCUGAGCUCUGAGUCAUAGCUGUAACUGAAUUGCUCUGUGGCCUGCAAAAGGUUGCU
rnacentral:lncRNA from 10 species